UGAGCUUAAUCUUGGCUUUAUUGCUCAUCAGCAUCUAUCUUCCAACUUGCAAUUGGCCAACAUCCUUACCAAGCCUCUCAACUUUGUUCCUUAUUCUCAGCUCAAUUCCAAGUUGUCUCUUGUGACCAUGUCACAUGCUCCAACUUGAGGGUACUUCAAAAAUUAGUUAGCAUGAGUUUUUGUUUAAAUAGAUUACUUAUCAGUAGUUAGUUUUUAUCAUAUGUUUUCUUAAUUACUUUUUCACUGUUGUAAGUUUUUGUUAAUGACUUAUCGUUGUAAAUCUUCCUAAGUGAGGAAUCUGCCGUCCUUCCAAAAAGAGAAAAAGAGUGAAGAGGAGUGAAACAUUUAUCCUUGCUUUCCGUCGACCGCCAUUCAUCUGUUUAGAUGGCUUCUGAUGAUCAGUUUCGAUGAGAUCAUGAAACUCUCUUGAGCGAUCGUAGAUCCAAAUUAUUAUUCGAUUGCCUAAUGAAUCUGGAUCUGACCCAAAAGAUUUUGCCUUCAUAUUCGACGCCGCAAUCUCUUCGAUCAAGUUCUCAAGCUCUAGAUCGUUCCCGAUUUGCAUGAGUUUAGCCCGGUUUCUACUAUUGGAUUGGAUGGCCGUGAUAUGAUAUGGAAGUUUUGAGUACGACAUUAGUUGGGGACAUGUUUGGCGCUGGUGAAAGCUUUGCAUUAUUAUUUUUAAUAUAUGUUCUUUGCCUUAAGAUGGGAGCAAGUAAGUAGGUACUCUGCACUUUUUGUACUGUCAUGCUUGAUUUAUGCCAUGGUGUGUAAGGUAUUUCUACUUUGUUUCAAAACUCGGACUCUUCAUAUAAUGCAAGAGAAUAAAGCGAUAGAGUGAUCAAAUAUGGUCCCAUUUUCAGAAAAAUCUAUUAAAUUUCUUGAUUUUGUCAUUUACAGCUCUUUUCAAACAUAGCAUCAGAUGCUAUAUUGAAGAGUCUUUUGUUUGAUGGAGGUGCAAAAGUUUUGCAUGAUUACUAUGAAAUAAUUGUUCAAUUUGUAAGUCCUUACUCAAUAGUAUGUUAGAAUAAGAUGGUAUCAUAAUAUCACCUCUGCUCUCACUUUGUUUUGUGGUUUUUAACCCAUCACUUUAUAUUCUUUACUCAAUUUCAUCAUGACAAUUUAAUUUUUACUGCUUUUAAUAUAUUACCUUAUUGAUUAUGAGUUGUGACUACUCAUCUCUCUAAGCAUUUUCUUAUAGAAUAUUUAGCUUAUGGAUUUUAUUUGCAUCGUGCAGAUAGUACUUUCAAGGCAUUCUUCUAUUCGCUUAAGUCAUUGUAUGCUGAUAUAAUUUGCAAGGGAUGCCAUAUAGGUGCAAAUUUAAGAACUGACAGGCCUUGGCCAGUUAAGCUGCUUUGACAAGCCGAGGAGAAUUGAGGUGAAACAAAUUGCAGUAUGUGUUGAUGAACCAUCUGUCAGUAAAAACAGUUGGAGGCUCCAGAGAGGUGAGCAAACACCCUGAAGCUUAUGAGAAAGCCAUCCAAAGAGGAAAAAGGAACCACUCUUCUCCUUGAGAUUAACUGACAUAAGCAUGAAGAAAGAGUUUUAGAGGGCAAAUCCCCUUCAUUUAAAAGUAUAUUUUUUUAUUUUCAUUUUCCUUAUUCUGUUGUACGUUUAGUUUAUGAAAUAAUAUAUUAUCUUUAAUUAAUUAGGUUAUAGAUUAAAGGCUAUAUAAAUUAUGUCUUUUAUUUUAAUUGUAGAUGAUUUAUGAAUUUUACGAAUGUGUCUUAAAUUAAUUUUAUGUUUUUGCUUUAGUAAAUCUCAUUAAUAAAAUUUUAACAGAUUUAAUAAUUUGAAUAAUUGGAAUUUUGUAGUUUGGUUCCUGCUUCCUUUUCUUUUUAUGGUGGUGGUUUAUUUUAUAUUGCCUUUAUGUCUUGGGCAUAUAAAUGAUGGGGAUGAGUAAGGACUUGAUAGAUCUUGAAGUCUUGUUUUAACUUAUUAAAAACAUUGUCGCCUUUAAGUGUAUUUUGAGAAUGCUUAGGGGAGCAUCCAUAGUUGGAGGGCUUUUGUGAGUUUUCUUCGUAUUUACUUUCUUUCUGUUCUGAUUCCCUGCAGUGUUCUUAGAUUUUAUUCAUUGGCACAUUAAUUUUUUGGCUCUCUCCCUUUGUUAGAGAUUUGAAGAAAAAUGCUGGCCAAUCCGAUAAAAAGAAGUUCGAGGGAACAACUCACUAGGAGGUCAUUUGCAUUAACUAAUUAUUUACUAUUAAUUUCCUUAUUUGUUGAGUAAGAAAGGAUCUAUUGGGUUAUAGAUAUUCUUAUAGUUUCAUUGAGAUUGAUGGUAGGAUUUGUUAUUUAUUUAUUUAUGUGUUAUUAUUGCAUUCUGCUGGAAACACAAUAAAAAUAUGCUUUACUGCAAAUUUUUUCCUUAUGUUUCUAAAUUUCAUAACGAUUACUUGUCCUUUUGGCUUGGUGGCUGCUGUAGAAAUUUUAAUAACUUGUAUUAUUGAAAUUUCUUUCGUCUUUAGAUUGUUGAUCACUCCUUAAAUGAUUUGCAAUUGGCUUUUGAAAUAACUAAUUGAAGAAAUCUUUUAUUUUGACAAUUAGGAAUUUGUUUUAGUCGUGCUAUGCUUUCUUUUACCUUUACCUUGCUAUAAUAUCUUGCUUAUUGACAGGGGAUAUUUAAUUUUGUUUGAUUUGUAUAGGGUCAUCACUACAAGAAUUUACAAAUUUACCAACGGAAAUUUCCGUUGGUGAACAUUGAUUUUCCGUUAGUGGAACUUUUCACUAACGGAUCUGUGACGGAUUCAUUCCGUUGAGAAAAUCCUCGUUGGUAAAUUAUUCACUAACGGAAUUUGUAUCCGUUAGUGACACUAACGGAUCACCAACGGAAAUUUCCGUUGGUGACACUAACGGGUUUCUUGGUUAUUAAUCCGUUAGUGAAUAAAAAUGGACACCAACGGAAAUUCCAUUGGUAAUCCGUUGGUAAAUCAUAAAAUUGCAAAAUCAUCCGUAUAUUUUCAUACAUUAUGCAUUAUGCACCUGUAUCUGUACCCUGUACAUUCAUAUACAUCCAUCAUCAUCCUUCAUCAUACUGGACAAUAAUAAUACUAUAAAUGUAAAAAACCAAAUUACUCUUUAAAAUAUAUUUAAAACUUAAAGAAUUUGUACUACAAUUAUAAUUUGAAAUAAAAAUUAUCAACUGGUCAUAACAAAAGAUACAUACUAAAGUAAACUAGCUAGCUCAUCAUCAUCACUGUCUGUAUGAUGAUCACUAAUGAUAGGGGCAUCAUCAUGCCGCUGCUGUGGUGACGAAGCUGGAGGUGCCCUAGGAGCAGAUGUCUGAGUGGAUGUCCCAAUACCCUGUUGUGCCAUCAUCCUAUGCAUAAACGUCUGCAACUCGUCCAGCACUGUGGUAAUUCGACAAUUUUCUGUCUCUAGCCGAUCAAUUUUAUUCUGCAUCCUGUUCAUUGCUUUAAUUGUAGGAGGAUCCACUGGGGGUGCAGACGUAUAUGAAGUAGAACAAUGAGAUGGCUCAUUGCUUCACUUACGGAUUACUAACGCCCAUAAAUGAGGCCCAGCUGUACUACGAAGCGAUUGGCGGGCAGAAAAAGAGUCGAGUUUAUGGGUUAGGGUCCCAGGCUUCAGCAUAUUUUCAUGAGCCAUCUCAUUGUUCUGCUUUAUACACGUCUGCACCCCCAGUGGAUCCUCCUACAAUUGAAGCAAUGAAUAGGAUGCAGAAUAAAAUUGAUCGGCUAGAGACAGAGAAUGGUCGAAUUACCACAGUGCUGGACGAGUUGCAGACGUUUAUGCAUAGGAUGAUGGCACAACAGGGUAUUGGGACAUCCACUCAGACAUCUGCUCCUAGGGCACCUCUAGCAUCAUCAUACAGACAGUGAUGAUGAUGAGCUAGCUAGUUUACUUUAGUAUGUAUCUUUUGUUAUGACCCGUUGAUAAUUUUUAUUUCAAAUUAUAAUUGUAGUACAAAUUCUUUAAGUUUUAAAUAUAUUUUAAUGAGUAAUUUGGUUUUUUACAUUUAUAGUAUUAUUAUUGUCUAGUAUGAUGAAGGAUGAUGAUGGAUGUAUAUGAAUGUAUAGGUGCAUAAUGUAUGAAAAUACGGAUGAUUUUGCAAUUUUAUGAUUUAUCAACGGAAUUUCCAUUGGUGUCCAUUUUUAUUUACUAACGGAUUAAUAACCAAGAAAUCCGUUAGUGUCACCAACGGAAAUUUCCGUUGACGAUUCGUUAGUGUCACUAACGGAUACAAAUUCCGUUAGUGAAUAAUUUACCAAUGAGGAUUUUCCCAACGGAAUGAAUCCGUCACAAAUCCGUUAGUGAAAAAUUCCACUAACGGAAUAUCAAUGUUUACCAACGGAAAUUUCCGUUGGUAAAUUUGUAAAUUCUUGUAGUGUGUUCAUACAUCAAACAUAUUUUCAUAAAACUAUGAAGGUAUAAAGUUAAAUCGAAAUAAUUUUUCUUGAGUUAUUUUUACACUAAACUAUUCAGGUAGAUUCGUGUAAACAUAUUAUUAAUAUAUUAUAUUUCAAAAUUAUAUUAUUAAGUAUAAAAAUUCCUAUAAACUUAUAAGACUUUAUAAUGUUUUGUGCAUCAAACUACUAGUUUUAAGCAUUUAUGAAUAUUUAAAAUAUUUCUUUAACCCUUGUAACUCUUUGAUAGAGCUAUCUAAACUAAUUAAAAACACUGUAAACAGUAGGGCACACACUGCUAAAAUGGCAAGGCUUGUAAGCCAAUAACUAUAGGGCACAUCAUUUACUAAAAUGCUAAGGUCCGAAGACUAGAAACUAUAGGAUACCAAGUGUCAAAACUAUAGGGUCUGACGACCACAAUUGUGACAAUAAUAAGCUCAAAAGCCAAAUAUGUGGGGCACCUUAUUGUAUCCCCAAAAUUCAUAUCAUGUAAUCAUAAGUUAUACUUUUUAAUCUAAUCUAUGGUGAUAACUUAGAUAUUUAACAUAUAUUUUGAUUUAAUACUGCCCAAUUAUUAGGGAUAUUUCUAUUUAAUUGGACAGAUUUUGAUGUUUUGAAGGAAUUUGGAAAGUAAUAGAGCUGAUAGAAAUUUUUGAUGAAAAAUCUAUCUAUAGGAAAUUAUUGUGAUGAGCUUUGACUAGUAGACUUGGCCAAGUCUAGUAGCUGAGCUGAAGUGACAAAAGAAGCAAGCCUUAUGCAAAGUCUUAAUUAGAGACUUGAGCAAGUCUCUAAACAGUAGUAAAGGCAUGCCUAAUGUGGCAGGAUCAAAAUUUUCUCAAUAAAAGAUUUUAAAUUGAGCCCUAACUUGCGAGAUUUUCUAUAGGAAGUUUAAGAAAUCUUCUCUCGCAUUAGAAAGCAAAUCAAGACUCUAUUUUACUUGAAACUUGAGUUUUAUCCUUUUAGGAAGAGAAUUUUAUUUAAGAUUUCUCUAAGGUUUUGCCAUAUAUAUACAAAAUAGCAACAAUAUCAUUUUUCUUUGACCAAAUUUUUAAAUAAUUUUUAUGGUUCUACAGCAGCUAUGAGUGGCAGAAUUCUUUUGUUUUGAUUAAAGAUAGGUUAAAGUUUCAAUUCUACAAGGAUUGUAGGAUCUAAAAUUUGUUGUUCAUUUUUAUUUUUCUAAUAUUUGUGGAAUUUCAAUUCUUCUUAUUAUUAAUGAUUUGUUGAUUAAUCAAUAAGGCUCGUGGUUCAUAUUAACAAAGUAAUAUAUUGUUAGUUUGGAUGCUUGAGUCUAUAAUUGUUUUAUUUAUUUAGCAAUAUGUAACAAUUAGUAUAACCUAUUAAGAAAUUGCAUAAUCUAAUUUAACUUACCAUGUGGUUCGGUUUAUUAAUUAGAAUUAAGUCUCUCUAAUUUUUAAAGUAAUUAAUAAAAUAAAUCUAAUAGACAUUCUUUGGGUUCUUUAUUGGUUAGAAUUAAUUAGCAAAUAUUUCCUAAUUAAUUUACAGCUCAGUAUAGAUUGAUUGUGAAGAGUGUCACCAAUAACUAGAAGCAAUUUAUUGAAAUCAAUAAAGAUUUGUUUUUGCUUCAAUGAUCAAUUCUCACAAGUAAUAUGAAUUAUAUUUUUCAAUUAGAAUUUAUUUUCAUUGAUAUUCUCUCAAAUUAAUUAUUUGAUUUUCACUUGUUAUCAAUAUCAUUAGUUGUCUUGGUUGUUAAUUUAGUUUUAUUCUUGAUCAAAACUCCCUUUUCUAUUUUAUUGCUUAUCUGCUUGGUGAUUGAUUGGAAGUUUUUAGUAUCAACUUCCUAUAGAUACGAUCCUAUUCACCUCUAUGCAAUUAUUUUUUGUUGGAUUUGGAUAGAUUAUUUUUUUUAUGGAUUGGACAUCCAUCAAAUUUGGUUUGCUAGGGAAUUGAUUUAAACUAAUUUAUGUCUUUUUGUGACCAAGUUUGAUCAUGAAGAAGGCUUGCUUUAUGAUCCAAAAAUUGAGAGAACUACCAAAGGCUUGCAAAAACAAGCCAAAUUAAUGAAAUAUGUCUCAAUAACAUCUACUUCUGCAAGUUCUAAAGAAACAAUCCAUGAAACAACAGUUGCUGAAGAAAAAGAUUUUGAACCAACCCUUGAAACUAUUGAAUUAGGAGUUGAAAUUAAAGAAGAAAAAGAACUCAUGGCGCAAGAAAUAACCUCACAUGAACUAGCAACCCCUAAUGGUGAUCAAACGCCACUUUGCAUCAUAUAUCCCAACUUGAAAGCACCAUUUGAGCAAAAUUAGGUCUAAUACACUUGCUUCCCAAGUUCAAAGGGCGUGAGAAUGAAGAAAUGCACAAGCACCUUAAGAAAUUCCAUGUAGUGUGCUCAAGCAUGAAGCCCUAAAGGAUAAUUGAGGACCAAAUCAAAUUGCAAGCAUUCCCAUUUCACUUGAUGAUAUCGUAAAAGAUUGGUUAUUUUACUUAUCAUCUGGAUCCAUUACUACAUAUAGUAAAAUGGUAAGGGCAAACUCUAAGGUGUUGUAUGAAUAUUAGGAAAGGUUCAAAAAGCUAUGCUCAAGUUGCCCCAACAUGGAAUUUUGGAUCAAUCUCUUGUGCAAUAUUUCUAGGACUCAUGCCUUCGAAAAAAAAAAUGCAUUCAUGCAGCAAGUGGAGGAAAUAUAGAAGACAAGACACCUCAGGCAAUAAGAGAGUUAAUUUCCAUCAUGGCUGCCACUUCUAAGCAAUAUGGAAAGAAAAAGGGACCGCUAAUAAGAGUUAAUGUUAAUGAGCUAAGUAUCUAUUUCCUUAAGUCUAAGAUAUCUAAACUAAAUUUUGUGAUGCGAAGUCUUGCUUUAGGGAAUAUGCAACAAGUUAAGGAUUGUGGUAUUUGUGCAACUCUUAGACAUCCUAUGGACACGUGUCCUACUCUAAGAGAAUGAGCAAUAUGUCAAUAUAAUUGGAGGUUUCGCUAGGUAAUAACAAAAGAAGUAUAACCCUUAUUCAAACAUAUACAACCCAGCGUGGAGGGAUCAUUACAACUUUAGCUAUGCAACAUCUAACAACUUUCAAAGUUUUCAGCACUGUUUUCCUCAAUAACCACCUCUUCAAAGCAAGGUAUACCUCUUGAAGGUAUGGUAAAAUCACUAGCUAACACUGUGCAAAAUUUGAAAAAUCAAAUGAAUGAGAAAUAAUUGCAGGAAAUUCCAUGCGGACGGAGACUUGGGCAAGGCUUUGAGACAUAACUGCAGGUUAAAGCAAUAGUAACACAACAACCUAAGGAUGAGAAGUCUAUUUCUAAAGAGGACCAACAUGUCUUUUGUGAUUCCACCAUCCUUUGUUGAGAGGUUAUCAAAAUCUAAGAAGGAGAAAGAAGAAAGGGAGAUACUUGAAACUUUUUGCAAGAUGGAGGCACUUAAGUUGGAGCUGAAGCUAUUUCCUAGCCACAUCAAAUAUGCAUACCUAAGGGCUGAAGAAAUGCUUUCAGUAAUAGUGUAUAAAAAAACUUAGCCCCUUAGAAGAGGAAAAGUUUAUUAAAGUGCUCUAAAAGUACAAGGAAGCAAUUGGGUAAAAUAGUGCUGAUAUCAAAGGCAUAUCCCCAUCCAUUUGAAUGGACCGAAUUCUCAUGGAGGAAGAUUGCAAACCUAGCGGAGAAGCACAAAGGAGACUUAGUUGCCCAUGAUGGAGGUAGUAAAAAAACAAUAGUGAAACUCCUCGAUGUUGAGGCUAUCUAUCCAUUUUUCGAUAAUAAGCGAGUAAAUCCAAUAAAUGUAGUGCCAAAGAAGAUAGGUAUUACCAUUGUUCAAAAUAGUGAUGGUGAGUUUAUUCCUACUAGAGUUUAAAAUGGAUGGAGAGUUUGCAUGGAUUAUAGGAGAUUGAAUGCUUCAAUUAGAUAAAACCACUUCCCUCUUACUUUUUUGAUCAAAUGCUUAAAAAGUUAGCUGGUUGAACUCAUUCUUGUUGCCUUGAUGGACAUGCAAGUUUUUCUCAAAUUCUAGUUGCAUAUGAAGAUCAAGAUAAGACUAUAUUCACUUGCCCAUUUGGUGCUUUUGUCUUUAAGAGAAUGCCUUUCAAUUUAUGCAAUGCUCCUGCCACUUUCCAAAGAUGCAUGAUGAAUAUUUUUCUGACUAUGUAGAGAACAUUAUAGAGGUAUUUAUAAAUGAUUCUAUUGUUUAUGGGAAUCCUUGUGAUGAAUGCUUUGGUAAUCUUGAAAAGGUUCUUGAACGAUGCAUUUAGUCCAAUCUUAUACUUAAUUAUGAAAAAUGUCAUCAUAUGGUUGAUCAAGAGUUGAUAUUAGGACAUACUGUAUCUUCAAAGGGAAUGACAAAGCCAAAAUAGAUGCCACAAAGAACUUGUCUUACCCUGUUAGUAUGCGAGAGAUUUGCUCUUUUCUUGGUCACGCAUGUUUUUAUAGGUAAUUCAUCAAAGAUUUCUCCAAGAUCACACACUCUUUAUACAACCUUCUCCAAAAUGAUGUGUCAUUUGAAUUUGACAAACCAUGUAAGGAAGCAUUUGACACAAUUAAGGAGAUGCUAAUUUUAGCCUCUAUCGUCCAGCCUACUAAUUGGAACCUCCCAUUUGAGAAAAUUUGUGAUGCAAGCAAUUAUGUAGCUGGAGAAGUUUUAGGAAAAAAAGUUGGCCAGGACCCACAUGUCAUUUACUAUACUUUGAAGAGCCUUGACGUUGCCCAAUGCAAUUAUUCCAUAAAAAAAAAAAGAACUUCUUGCCGUGGUUUUUGCUUUAGAAUUUUGUUCUUAUAUUCUUAGUACUAAAGUCAUUGUUUAUUUUGAUCAUACAACUCUAAAGUACUUGCUCAAGAAGGAGGCGAAACAAAGGCUCAUUCGAUGGAUUUUGUUGCUGCAAGAGUUUGAUAUAGAAAUUCGAGGUGUGCAGGUUAUGAGUUUUUUAUUGGAUAGAAUGGAUCUGCAGCAUUUUUUUGGACAGAUUUGGUGAGCUUUAUUCUUAUACAAAUUGGAUGAAAUUGUGAUUUUUUGGGAUAUAAUUAGUGUACAGCUUUUAAUGUUUUUUUUACGGAUUUGAUUGAACAUAUAUUGGUCUUCCUGAGAGCUUUUGAUGUACAGCUAUUUUGGAUAUAUAUUGGUUAUUUCGGAUAUGUAGCUAUUGUAAAGCUAUUUUGGACAACUUUAGAGAAUUUAGAUAGGUUUUUUUGGAUAUAUUUUGUGAUGUAAUGAAUAAAAUUUCAUUU